rnacentral:rRNA from 1 species
GACGAACGCUGGCGGCGUGCUUAACACAUGCGAGUCGAACGGAAAGGCCCUGCUUUUGUGGGGUGCUCGAGUGGCGAACGGGUGAGUAACACGUGAGUAACCUGCCCUUGACUUUGGGAUAACUUCAGGAAACUGGGGCUAAUACCGGAUAGGAGCUCCUGCUGCAUGGUGGGGGUUGGAAAGUUUCGGCGGUUGGGGAUGGACUCGCGGCUUAUCAGCUUGUUGGUGGGGUAGUGGCUUACCAAGGCUUUGACGGGUAGCCGGCCUGAGAGGGUGACCGGCCACAUUGGGACUGGGAAACGGCCCAGACUCCUUCGGGAGGCAGCAGGGGGGAAUAUUGCACAAUGGGCGGAAGCCUGAUGCAGCAACGCCGCGUGCGGGAUGACGGCCUUCGGGUUGUAAACCGCUUUCGCCUGUGACGAAGCGUGAGUGACGGUAAUGGGUAAAGAAGCACCGGCUAACUACGUG